UACGUAGGGGGGCGAGCGUUGUCCCGGAUUUAUUGGGCGUAAAGAGCUCGUAGGCGGCUUGGCAAGUCGGGUGUGAAACCUCCAGGCUCAACCUGGAGACGCCACUCGAUACUGCUAUGGCUAGAGUCCGGUAGGGGACCACGGAAUCCUGGUGUAGCGGUGAAAAUGCGCAGAUAUCAGGAGGAACACCGGUGGCGAAGGCGGUGGUCUGGGCCGGCACUGACGCUGGAGGAGCGAAAGCGUGGGUAGCAAACAGG
rnacentral:rRNA from 1 species